UACGGGGGGAGCAAGCGUUGUUCGGAUUUACUGGGCGUAAAGGGCGCGUAGGCGGUCAGCACAAGUCAGUUGUGAAAUCUCCGGGCUUAACUCGGAAAGGUCAACUGAUACUGUGCGACUAGAGUGCAGAAGGGGCAACUGGAAUUCUCGGUGUAGCGGUGAAAUGCGUAGAUAUCGAGAGGAACACCUGCGGCGAAGGCGGGUUGCUGGGCUGAUACUGACGCUGAGGCGCGAAAGCUAGGGGAGCGAACGGG
rnacentral:rRNA from 1 species